CCUUACUGUCAGGGUCAUCUCACCGUUUAACUGGUGUCCUUGAACGUGUUGAAGUUUUCGGUUGCAACACAGGUAAUAUACUGCCUGGUCCUUCAACAGCUCCUUGGAUCUGGGUCCCGGGAUGGGAGUUUUCACCAUCGGCGCUGCGGGCUCAUCUUCCACUGGCUGAACAUUCACAGCAGCAGCAGAGGCCUGACAUCGAACUGACUCUGAUAAAACGAUAGACACAGAAUACAGUUUAUACAGUUACCUGUUAAUGAUCAAGUAUUGUUCAUAUUGUUUAUAGAGGUAGAAGUUCAAAUAUUGUUGAACAGAUGAUUUCAAUAUUUUCAAUAUGGCUGCCAUGUCUGCUAAGUUGGAGUCACAUAGUUACAUUUACACUUAAAGGUUUUUUAACUUCUGCUGGAAUCAUAUCCACAAAAACUAAGCUGAACGACUGCUUUGUUGUGGAUAUUUUUAAAAUCUUGCUGUUUUUCAGACUAUUUGUGUUCUGUAGCAUCAGUUUUGGUGCUAACAUCAAAAUAUGUGAACCAUGGUGAUAGGGAAAUGAGCCUGAAUGAUUUCUGGAGCUGACAUCUGACUGGGUUUCACAAACCAUUCUGAACCUGCAUUUUAAACAUGUUAAACUGAUACAACAUUAAGCCAUUAUGUAAAGCUACAGAUAAACUGUACAUCCACCAAUCUGUGGAUUACGAAAGUAGGUUCUCUUGAUUUUAACAUUACAGAAGUUUGUAAAUAAUUGAAAAGUCUAAGUUUAUUUAGAUUUUGACCAGCAAAGUUUCUUGUUUCAGAAAUAAAUAUCUCUGAAAAAUAUUAACAUUUUGUCUUUCUGAUGUACACCUGGAAAUAAUCGAGCUAAACCAUCUGUUAUUCAACCGUCACCAAGUCUGACCACAGGAAUACAAAGAAUUGUUGU